AUGCUGUGAUGAGGGAACUUUCGUAAUAACUCAUUGAAUCGCUCUCAUGCCUCAUAUAAAGAUUGUUCAUCAAGUUACUGAAAUGAAGUGAUUUCAUUUCGGAUCUU
rfam:Gossypium hirsutum cultivar TM-1 chromosome 13, whole genome shotgun sequence